UGUGAGUGAACCCUACUUUGUUUCAUCUCCUUCCUCUAUAAAGUUGCCUUCUCUCUCCCUCUCACACAUAACAAUAACACACACCUUGUGCUAUAGUGGUCCUUCUCACUAUGUAUGGGCUUGCAAUUUUUAAUUUCUUCCUCUCUCUCUCUUCUUUCCUCCAUUUCUGUUAUCACUUUUUUUUUUCUUGCCUGUUAUCACUUAACUGGCUAGUCAAGAAGAAUUAAAAAGCUCACUUCAUGCUUUUCCACAGCUUUCUUGAACUACAAAUUGCUAAUUGAUCAAGAUCAAGAAUUUGGGGUUUUCAGUUCAAGAAAGUUGUGGGAAAACAUGGUGAUUCUGGGCUACUUUUAUCUCCACCAAUGCAGCCACAUUCUUGAAUAAUUCCACAUUCUUGGAGAGUGUUAUGAACUUCAGCAACAAGGUGUACGACAUGAAGGGGAAGAAGAAAGAGACAGUCGGGGGAGGCGUCUGAAGCUAGGCGGACGAUGAGUACCUACUCCAUAGAGGAGUCGAUUGCUUUUGCUCAUUGUUGGACAUAGAUCUUUGAGGACCCAAUUGUAGCCAACAAUUUCGAGGGCGGUUUCUGGAGGCGUAUCAUGAAAAGAUACGAACAAGUAAAGCCCGCAGGGGCCCGACACACCAGCCCGACGAUCUACGCAAGCAUUGGAAACGGCUGGCAUAUGAGUGUGCUAAAUUUCAUGAUUUCUACGAUGGCAAUGCGAGAGGGUUCAAGUACGAGGAAAUAUAUCUGCAACUGAAGGAUUGCCCCAAAUUCAUAGGGUUAAUGGGUCGUGUCGGGGAGGACGAGCCGGAACCCGAGUGCUUCUGAGUUUGUGCUUCCGUUGUUUUUUAUUAUGCUUUCUAUCUUUAUCUUUUUUUAAUGUAUGAUGUUUUAUUUUGUUUUUAAUGAAUUUGUUUUUUGUCGUA